rnacentral:rRNA from 1 species
GGGUUGUGAGGUUAAGCGACUAAGCGUACACGGUGGAUGCCCUGGCAGUCAGAGGCGAUGAAGGACGUGCUAAUCUGCGAUAAGCGUCGGUAAGGUGAUAUGAACCGUUAUAACCGGCGAUUUCCGAAUGGGGAAACCCAGUGUGUUUCGGCACACUAUCAUUAACUGAAUCCAUAGGUUAAUGAGGCGAACCGGGGGAACUGAAACAUCUAAGUACCCCGAGGAAAAGAAAUCAACCGAGAUUCCCCCAGUAGCGGCGAGCGAACGGGGAGGAGCCCAGAGCCUGAAUCAGUGUGUGUGUUAGUGGAAGCGUCUGGAAAGGCG